AACGAACGCUGGCGGCGUGCCUAACACAUGCAAGUCGAACGAGAAAAUUUCCUUCGGGGAAUGAGUAAAGUGGCGCACGGGUGAGUAACACGUGAAUAAUCUCCCUUCGAGACUGGGAUAACUUGACGAAAGUUAAGCUAAUACCGGAUAAGACCACGCUUCAUAAGGAGUGCGGCAAAAGGGGUCUCAAACCCUGCUUGAAGAUGAGUUCGCGUACCAUUAGCUUGUUGGUGAGAUAACAGCUCACCAAGGCGACGAUGGUUAGCCGGCCUGAGAGGGUGAUCGGCCACACUGGAACUGAGACACGGUCCAGACUCCUACGGGAGGCAGCAGUGGGGAAUCUUGCGCAAUGGGCGAAAGCCUGACGCAGCAACGCCGCGUGAGCGAUGAAGGCCUUCGGGUCGUAAAGCUCUGUCAAGUGGGAAGAACACAAUGACGGUACCACUAGAGGAAGCCCCGGCUAACUUCGUG
rnacentral:rRNA from 1 species